rnacentral:rRNA from 1 species
UACGUAGGUGGCAAGCGUUGUCCGGAUUUACUGGGCGUAAAGAGCGCGCAGGCGGUCGUGCAAGUCGCGUGUGAAAGCCCCCGGCUCAACUGGGGAGGGUCACGCGAUACUGCUCGACUUGAAGGCAGGAGAGGGAAGUGGAAUUCCCGGUGUAGUGGUGAAAUGCGUAGAGCUCGGGAAGAACAUCGGUGGCGAAAGCGCUCUACUGGACUGCAACUGACACUCAGGGACGAAAGCUAGGGGAGCGAAUGGG